CCUUCUUUUCCGCGCUUUUUCCGGAAUUAUUGGGCGUAAAGAGCUCGUAGGCGGUAUGUCGCGUCUGCUGUGAAAGACCGGGGCUUAACUUCGGUUUUGCAGUGGAUACGGGCAUGCUGGAGGUAGGUAGGGGAGACUGGAAUUCCUGGUGUAGCGGUGAAAUGCGCAGAUAUCAGGAGGAACACCGGUGGCGAAGGCGGGUCUCUGGGCCUUACCUGACGCUGAGGAGCGAAAGCCAGGGGAGCAAACGGGA
rnacentral:rRNA from 1 species